AUGCCCCGAAAACCCAAGGUUUCCUCCUCAAGGUUCGUCCACGGAGGCGAGGUUCAAAAGAGGAAAGGCUUGCGGUGGAUACCUAGGCACCCAGAGAUGAGGAAGGGCGUAGCAAGCGACGAAAUGCUUCGGGGAGUUGAAAAUAAGCAUAGAUCCGGAGAUUCCCAAAUAGGUCAACCUUUUAAACUACCUGCUGAAUCCAUGAGCAGGCAAGAGACAACCUGA
rnacentral:rRNA from 1 species